GGGGGGGGGCUCAGUGGUAGAGUGCCUGCCUCUACCACAAGUAUGAGGCACUGGGUUCGAUCCUCAGCACCACA
rnacentral:tRNA from 1 species